AUCUGGCUGGCUCAGUUGAUAGAGCAAAUGACUACUGAUCUCAAGGUCGUGAGUUCAAGUCCCAUGCUGGGUG
rnacentral:tRNA from 1 species